CAGGACCUUGGUGGGUAGCACUGGAAAUGUCCACAGGAUCAGAGGAAAUUAGCAAAGUCGUUUCUAUUCCUCAGGUUAUAUAAUACGGCUCCCCAGGUAAUCCUGUGCCCGCCCAACCUGUUUCCACAAUUCCCAGCUAGAUCUUCAACCUUCUGACCACUCAGUGCCUGUUACAAAGAGAUGCGUAGGGAGUACCUGGAUGGAAGGAAAGAAGAAAGGAAGGACAGAUGAACUGACAGAUGGGUACCUGCUGAGUUGGCUGCCCACUGGUUGUUCCUGUCUGCCUGGUUACCCUGUGGCUGACCAUUUGGAACCAUGUGACCUGCUGUUCCAACCUUGUGAUUGGACCAAUGAGGAUCACAUGACUCAAGCUGGGCCAAUCAGUUCUUUCUCUGGGAAUUUGGAAUUUGAAUUAAGUUGCGCAUACA